AUAUCAUAACUAUAGGUAAUAAAUAUUAAACCAAUGUAAAAUGGUAGUCUUUAUUAAUUAGAGGAACUCGCUCUAUAAUCGUAAACACCCGAUAAAUUUCACUAUAUACCAUAAAGCCUAUAUACCGCCGUUAAUAGAAAUACUUAAAACAAUAAUUCAAGAAUUCACACAAAUAAAAAUCAGGUCAAGGUGUAGCCCAUAUUAUAAGAAAGAGUAAGUUACACAUAAAAGAAACUUAAGGACUGUAAUCGAAAACUAACCAAGAAAAAGAAUCUAUAUGUAC
rnacentral:rRNA from 1 species